rnacentral:lncRNA from 1 species
GAGCGAUAGAGGAGAUCCUAUUCUGAAUGAGGAAUUUCAGCGACUCAACACAGAAGUCAACCAUAAGCGGCUAAUUCGCGAACUAGAAGAGGAUCUCCCAGAAUAUAAACCUCGUUUUGAUCCACUCGAUAAUAAUAAUUGGUUUACCAGGUUCAGGGCACAGAAACGAUUUCAACAAGCAGCACGCAAGGUGAGUCCCAGAACAAGAUUGGAAUUUUUAUUUGUUUAGUC